CGCUAGCUACAGGCUUAACACAUGCAAGUCGAGGGGCAUCAGGAAGAAAGCUUGCUUUCUUUGCUGGCGACCGGCGCACGGGUGAGUAACACGUAUCCAACCUGCCCUUUACUCGGGGAUAGCCUUUCGAAAGAAAGAUUAAUACCCGAUAGCAUAAUGAUUCCGCAUGGUUUCAUUAUUAAAGGAUUCCGGUAAAGGAUGGGGAUGCGUUCCAUUAGGUUGUUGGUGGGGUAACGGCCCACCAAGCCUUCGAUGGAUAGGGGUUCUGAGAGGAAGGUCCCCCACAUUGGAACUGAGACACGGUCCAAACUCCUACGGGAGGCAGCAGUGAGGAAUAUUGGUCAAUGGGCGCUAGCCUGAACCAGCCAAGUAGCGUGAAGGAUGAAGGCUCUAUGGGUCGUAAACUUCUUUUAUAUAAGAAUAAAGUGCAGUAUGUAUACUGUUUUGUAUGUAUUAUAUGAAUAAGGAUCGGCUAACUCCGUGCCAGCAGCCGCGGUAAUACGGAGGAUCCGAGCGUUAUCCGGAUUUAUUGGGUUUAAAGGGAGCGUAGGUGGACUGGUAAGUCAGUUGUGAAAGUUUGCGGCUCAACCGUAAAAUUGCAGUUGAUACUGUCAGUCUUGAGUACAGUAGAGGUGGGCGGAAUUCGUGGUGUAGCGGUGAAAUGCUUAGAUAUCACGAAGAACUCCGAUUGCGAAGGCAGCUCACUGGACUGCAACUGACACUGAUGCUCGAAAGUGUGGGUAUCAAACAGGAUUAGAUACCCUGGUAGUCCACACAGUAAACGAUGAAUACUCGCUGUUUGCGAUAUACAGUAAGCGGCCAAGCGAAAGCAUUAAGUAUUCCACCUGGGGAGUACGCCGGCAACGGUGAAACUCAAAGGAAUUGACGGGGGCCCGCACAAGCGGAGGAACAUGUGGUUUAAUUCGAUGAUACGCGAGGAACCUUACCCGGGCUUAAAUUGCAGUGGAAUGAUGUGGAAACAUGUCAGUGAGCAAUCACCGCUGUGAAGGUGCUGCAUGGUUGUCGUCAGCUCGUGCCGUGAGGUGUCGGCUUAAGUGCCAUAACGAGCGCAACCCUUAUCUUUAGUUACUAACAGGUCAUGCUGAGGACUCUAGAGAGACUGCCGUCGUAAGAUGUGAGGAAGGUGGGGAUGACGUCAAAUCAGCACGGCCCUUACGUCCGGGGCUACACACGUGUUACAAUGGGGGGUACAGAAGGCAGCUAGCGGGUGACCGUAUGCUAAUCCCAAAAGCCUCUCUCAGUUCGGAUCGAAGUCUGCAACCCGACUUCGUGAAGCUGGAUUCGCUAGUAAUCGCGCAUCAGCCACGGCGCGGUGAAUACGUUCCCGGGCCUUGUACACACCGCCCGUCAAGCCAUGGGAGCCGGGGGUACAUGAGGUACGUAACCGCAAGGA
rnacentral:rRNA from 1 species